rnacentral:rRNA from 1 species
UACGUAGGGGGCGAGCGUUGUCCGGAUUUACUGGGCGUAAAGGGCGCGCAGGCGGUCUGGUAAGUUUGGAGUGACAGUGCUCGGCUUAACUGAGCAAGGCCUUCGAAAACUGCUAGACUUGAGCACUCAAGAGGGACAUAGAAUUCCGGGUGGAGUGGUGAAAUGCGUAGAUAUCCGGAGGAAUACCAAAGGCGAAGGCAGUGUCCUGGGGAGUGUCUGACGCUCAGGCGCGAAAGCUAGGGGAGCGAACAGG